rnacentral:rRNA from 1 species
AGUGAACGCUGGCGGCAGGCUUAACACAUGCAAGUCGAACGCACCGCAAGGUGAGUGGCAGACGGGUGAGUAACACGUGGGGAUCUGCCCAAUGGUACGGAAUAGCUCCGGGAAACUGGAAUUAAUACCGUAUGAGCCCGCAAGGGGAAAGAUUUAUCGCCAAUGGAUGAACCGGCAUCGGCUUAGCUAGUUGGUGUGGUAAAGGCGCACCAAGGCGACGAUCCGUAGCUGGUCUGCGAGGAUGAUCAGCCACACUGGGACUGAGAGUCGGCCCAGACUCCUACGGGAGGCAGCAGUGGGGAAUAUUGGACAAUGGGCGAAAGCCUGAUCCAGCCAUGCCGCGUGAGUGAUGAAGGCCUUAGGGUUGUAAAGCUCUUUCGCCGACGAAGAUAAUGACGGUAGUCGGAGAAGAAGCCCCGGCUAACUUCUUGCCAGCCGCCGCCGUAAGAC